AGAUUAUACACACAACCGCGGGAAAAUAGACGCUAAUUCAACACUGCGCAUGCGCACAUUUUGGAGAGCGCUACGUGCCUACUUCUGCCAGACUGCCAUCAGCUGAUUCCGUUUCCGUUCUGGAGAUGCACAUUGUGGAGAGCAGUCAUGCCAUGGAGAACUACUCCCCUUCAGGAUGCCACUAAUCACAUCCUUGCAGGAAGAGACAAGAAUGCAAUGUUAGAAAUCAAAUAUAUUAAUCCAGUUAAAGGUCGUGGUAUCUUCACUUCAGCUGUUUUCAAUCAAGGAGACUUUGUGGUGGAGUAUAGAGGGGAGCUCAUUG